CGUAGGGUGCAAGUGUUGUCCGGAAUUAUUGGGCGUAAAGAGCUCGUAGGCGGUCUGUCGCGUCUGCUGUGAAAACUCAGGGCUUAACCCUGAGCUUGCAGUGGGUACGGGCAGACUAGAGUGCGGUAGGGGAGACUGGAAUUCCUGGUGUAGCGGUGAAAUGCGCAGAUAUUAGGAGGUACACCGGUGGCGAAGGCGGGUCUCUGGGCCGUAACUGACGCUGAGGAGCGAAAGCAUGGGGAGCGAACAGGAUUAGAUACCCUGGUAGUCCAUGCCGUAAACGUUGGGCGCUAGGUGUGGGGCUCAUUCCACGAGUUCCGUGCCGCAGCUAACGCAUUAAGCGCCCCGCCUGGGGAGUACGGUCGUAAGGCUA
rnacentral:rRNA from 1 species